rnacentral:rRNA from 1 species
AUUGAACGCUGGCGGCAGGCCUAACACAUGCAAGUCGAGCGGAUGAAGAGAGCUUGCUCCUGGAUUCAGCGGCGGACGGGUGAGUAAUGCCUAGGAAUCUGCCUGGUAGUGGGGGAUAACGCCCGGAAACGGGCGCUAAUACCGCAUACGUCCUGAGGGAGAAAGUGGGGGAUCUUCGGACCUCACGCUAUCAGAUGAGCCUAGGUCGGAUUAGCUAGUUGGUGGGGUAAAGGCCUACCAAGGCGACGAUCCGUAACUGGUCUGAGAGGAUGAUCAGUCACACUGGAACUGAGACACGGUCCAGACUCCUACGGGAGGCAGCAGUGGGGAAUAUUGGACAAUGGGCGAAAGCCUGAUCCAGCCAUGCCGCGUGUGUGAAGAAGGUCUUCGGAUUGUAAAGCACUUUAAGUUGGGAGGAAGGGCAGUAAGUUAAUACCUUGCUGUUUUGACGUUACCAACAGAAUAAGCACCGGCUAACUUCGUG